GAGUGAACGCUGGCGGUAGGCCUAACACAUGCAAGUCGAACGGCAGCACAGUAAGAGCUUGCUCUUACGGGUGCGAGUGGCGGACGGGUGAGGAAUACAUCGGAAUCUACUUUUUCGUGGGGGAUAACGUAGGGAAACUUACGCUAAUACCGCAUACGACCUACGGGUGAAAGCAGGGGAUCUUCGGACCUUGCGCGAUUGAAUGAGCCGAUGUCGGAUUAGCUAGUUGGCGGGGUAAAGGCCCACCAAGGCGACGAUCCGUAGCUGGUCUGAGAGGAUGAUCAGCCACACUGGAACUGAGACACGGUCCAGACUCCUACGGGAGGCAGCAGUGGGGAAUAUUGGACAAUGGGCGCAAGCCUGAUCCAGCCAUACCGCGUGGGUGAAGAAGGCCUUCGGGUUGUAAAGCCCUUUUGUUGGGAAAGAAAAGCAGCAGGUUAAUACCCCGCUGUUCUGACGGUACCCAAAGAAUAAGCACCGGCUAACUUCGUG
rnacentral:rRNA from 1 species